AUUGAACGCUGGCGGCAGGCUUAACACAUGCAAGUCGAGCGGAGAUGAGGUGCUUGCACCUUAUCUUAGCGGCGGACGGGUGAGUAAUGCUUAGGAAUCUGCCUAUUAGUGGGGGACAACAUUCCGAAAGGAAUGCUAAUACCGCAUACGCCCGACGGGGGAAAGCAGGGGAUCUUCCGAUCUUGCGCUAAUAGAUGAGCCUAAGUCGGAUUAGCUAGUUGGUGGGGUAAAGGCCUACCAAGGCGACGAUCUGUAGCGGGUCUGAGAGGAUGAUCCGCCACACUGGGACGGAGACACGGCCCAGACUCCUACGGGAGGCAGCAGUGGGGAAUAUUGGACAAUGGGCGGAAGCCUGAUCCAGCCAUGCCGCGUGUGUGAAGAAGGCCUUUUGGUUGUAAAGCACUUUAAGCGAGGAGGAGGCUACCUGGAUUAAUACUCUAGGAUAGUGGACGUUACUCGCAGAAUAAGCACCGGCUAACUCUGUGCCAGCAGCCGCGGUAA
rnacentral:rRNA from 1 species